AGAAUCAACGCUGGCGGCGUGCCUAACACAUGCAAGUCGAUCGAGAAAGUGGAGCAAUCCAUGAGUAAAGAGGCGCACGGGUGAGUAACACGUGACUAACCUACCCUCGAGUGGGGAAUAAACCUGGGGAAACCCGGGCUAAUACCGCAUAAUACCCACGGGUCAAAGGAGCAAUUCGCUUGAGGAGGGGGUCGCGGCAGAUUAGUUAGUUGGCGGGGUAAUGGCCCACCAAGACGAUGAUCUGUAUCCGGCCUGAGAGGGCGCACGGACACACUGGAACUGAAACACGGUCCAGACUCCUACGGGAGGCAGCAGUGGGGAAUUUUGCGCAAUGGGGGAAACCCUGACGCAGCAACGCCGCGUGGAGGAUGAAGUCCCUUGGGACGUAAACUCCUUUCGACCGGGACGAUAAUGACGGUACCGGAUGAAGAAGCCCCGGCUAACUUCGCGCCAGCAGCCGC
rnacentral:rRNA from 1 species